rnacentral:rRNA from 1 species
GGCUGAAAUUCGCCUUCCAUGAAGCUGGAAUUGCUAGUAAUGGCAGGUCAGCAUACUGCCGUGAAUACGUUCCCGGGCCUUGUACACACCGCCCGUCACACCAUGAGAGUUGGAAAUACCCGAAGCCUGUGAGCUAACUUAAAGAGGCAGCAGUCGAAGGUAGAGCCAAUGAUUGGGGUGAAGUCGUAACAAGGUACC